AUUAACUAAAGAAAUACCUCAAACCAUCCUCCUUCUCAGACCUUUUUCAAUCGAUGUUCUUCUCAUGGUGAAUGCUACAUUAACUUAAGAAAUAUUUCAAUCCAUUCUUCUUAUCUCUCUUUUACAAUCGAUGUUCUUCUCCCGCUGAAUGCCAUAUUGACUUAAAAAAUACUUUAAUCCAUCUUCCUUCUCAGUCUUUUACAAUCAAUGUUCUUCUCCCGCUCAAUGCCACAUUGACUUCAAAAAUACUUCAAUCGAUCCUCCUUUGCAGUCUUUUACAAUUGAUGUGCUUCUCCAUCUCAAUGCCACAUUGAAUUAAGAAAUACUUCAAUCCAUCUUCCUUCUCAGUCUUUUACAAUCAAUGUUCUUCUCCUGCUUAAAGCGACAUUGACUUAAGAAAUACUUCAUUCCAUUUUCUUUUUCAGUCUUUUAUAAUCAAUGUUCUUUUCCCGCUCAAUGUCACAUUGACUUAAGAAAUACUUCAAUCCAGCUUCUUUUUCAGCCUUUUACAAUUGAUGUUCUUUUCACACUCAAUGUCACAUUGACUUAAGAAAUACUUCAAUCCAGCUUCUUUUUCAGCCUUUUACAAUUGAUGUUCUUUUCACACUCAAUGUCACAUUGACUUCAGAAAUACUUCAAUCCAUCUUCCUUCUCCGUCUUUUUCAAUCGAUGUUCUUCUACCGCUAAAUGCCACAUUGACUUAAGAAAUACUUCAAUCGAUCCUCCUUUGCAGUCUUUUACAAUUGAUGUGCUUCUCCCCCUCAAUGCCACAUUGAAUUAAGAAAUACUUCAAUCCAACUUCCUUCUCCGUCUUUUUCAAUUGAUGUUCUUCUACCGCUCAAUGCCACAUUGACUUUAGAAAUACUUCAAUCCAUCCUCCUUCGCAGUCUUUUACAAUUGAUGUUCUUCUCACGCUCAAUGCCACAUUGACUUAAGAAAUAUUUCAAUCCAUUCUUCUUAUCUGUCUUUUACAAUCAAUGUUCUUCUCCCGCUGAAUGCCAUAUUGUUUUAAGAAAUAGUUUAAUCCAUCCUCCUUCUCAGUCUUUUACAAUCGAUGUUCUUCUCCUGCUCAGUGUCACAUUGACUUAAGAAAUACUAAAUUUUUUCUUCCUU
rnacentral:lncRNA from 1 species